UACGAAGGGGGCUAGCGUUGCUCGGAAUCACUGGGCGUAAAGGGUGCGUAGGCGGGUCUUUAAGUCAGGGGUGAAAUCCUGGAGCUCAACUCCCAGAACUGCCUUUGAUACUGAAGAUCUUGAGUUCGGGAGAGGUGAGUGGAACUGCGAGUGUAGAGGUGAAAUUCGUAGAUAUUCGCAAGAACACCAGUGGCGAAGGCGGCUCACUGGCCCGAUACUGACGCUGAGGCACGAAAG
rnacentral:rRNA from 1 species